UGGGGAAUAUUGGACAAUGGGGGGAACCCUGAUCCAGCCAUGCCGCGUGUGUGAAGAAGGCCUUUUGGUUGUAAAGCACUUUAAGCGAGGAGGAGGCUCUUCUAGUUAAUACCUAGGAUGAGUGGACGUUACUCGCAGAAUAAGCACCGGCUAACUCUGUGCCAGCAGCCGCGGUAAUACAGAGGGUGCAAGCGUUAAUCGGAAUUACUGGGCGUAAAGCGCGCGUAGGUGGUUCGUUAAGUUGAAUGUGAAAGCCCCGGGCUCAACCUGGGAACUGCAUCCAAAACUGGCGAGCUAGAGUAGGGCAGAGGGUGGUGGAAUUUCCUGUGUAGCGGUGAAAUGCGUAGAUAUAGGAAGGAACACCAGUGGCGAAGGCGACCACCUGGGCUCAUACUGACACUGAGGUGCGAAAGCGUGGGGAGCAAACAGG
rnacentral:rRNA from 1 species